rnacentral:lncRNA from 1 species
GCUCCCCGCCCCACCCGAGCUCUUGCUCCGUGUGCUACUCCUGGAGCAGAUGAAGAAACUGACGCGGGGGCGGGGUCCUACAGAGAACCCAGGCGUUUCCAGGGAACAUAGCUGUUGCCGGUCAGAGCUCCGAGAAUAUUUGCAGCGAGAAAACUGGGGAACCAGCGCCGUUGUCAUGGCUGAAUCAAACUUAGAAUACGGAAAGCCAGACAGAAAGCGAAGAACGACCGCGAACUUCACAGCAUCGAGUCACCAGCAGCUGCUAGGACCUUAGCUGCCUUCCUGCGGACCUGAACCCCGUGCUAGUCCGCCCCCCGCAAGGUCUGAUUAUUUAUUUGUCAUUCUUAAAGACUAUUUUUGACUGGACUCAGAAGUAGAAACUCUCAGCGAGAACAGCGCACGCCACUUGGCGAUCUAUCUGUUCCUGGAGUUUUUCUUUGGCUUCCCUCAUUUUCUUGGCCAAAAGUUUAGCCUGUUCUACAGCCUCCUCCUCGUUUCCCCAGUGCCCGUGCGUACGAAGCACCUCGGGGAGUGGCUGCGAUUUCCCUGUUCUGGAUCUUUCAGCUUCCUCCUGACACGGCCUGGAAUUCAUUUCUAGCUUUCUUUCAAAUCGAGGCAGCUCUCCCGCCUCGGCCUUCCGAAUACUAAGAUUACAGGCACGCGCCACCACGCCAGGCUCAAAAAUGUCUUUAUAAAUCGUUGCUAAGUCCAGUAACGCAUGGAGUGAACGAGACUGAAGUUUUUCUCAAAAACAAAACAAACAAAAGAGCCACCACCUCUGCAUCUUGGUUUAAGUUCGGACAAUAUCACGGACGUACACGAACUUUGUAUCUGGCAACCUCUUGGCCAGAGUAACACCGCUUUGCAGAUUCCCCUAAAACCUCACCCAAAAUGAGGUGUCGAGCAGAGAGGCAGGAGACCGGAGGCAUUUCCAGAUAGACCGGGACUCUUCAAGCCAGUAAAUAACUUAGCUGGGUGAGGGGGCGCUUGCCCACCUGUAACCCCAGCAUUUGGGAAGUGGAGACAGGGGGAUCAAGAGUUCAAGGUGGCGCAGUCGAGUUCGAGGCCACCUGGUUUUUACCCUCCCUUUCAGCAAGACUCCUACUGUCACGGAAGACACCUGAGUUGAUUCUCCUGGCUUUCUUCACUAAGGCUCCGUGACUCUAAGCUUGUCCUUUUUCUCUCCCCUCUGCAGGGGCUAGUGAUCAAACUCAGGGCUUCGUGCACACAAAGCCGAGUUCAGUCACUGAGUUCUAGCUUUUAUCUUCCUCUUCACAUUUUUAAAUUUUGACAUAGAGCUCUGGAACACACAGUCAGAGGAAGGCAGAACAUUUUCCAUAGAGAAACUGAAGUCCUGCUUGUGAAUUCUGGGCUUGGGGUGAGAUGGAGAAGCAGAAAACAAAUAAGGAAAUGAGAAUAAUUUAAAUGUUUCACUGCACAAUGUGUGCAUAUGAAAACUGUUAGACAAAAAAAAAAAGAAAAAUAGACAAA